AAGAACGGACCUCCAGAACGAAUUAAGUUCUUAACCCGAGGUACCACUGUAUUUUAUCAUCAAGUCUGUACAGUGGUACCUUGGGUUAAGUACUUAAUUCAUUCCGGAG